rnacentral:rRNA from 1 species
GCAUAUCAAUAAGCGGAGGAAAAAGAACUAACAAGGAUUCCCCUAGUAGCGGCGAGCGAAGCGGGAAGAGCUCAAAUUUGUAAUCUGGCGCUUUCAGCGUCCGAGUUGUAAUCUCUAGAAAUGUUUUCCGCGUUGCACCGCACACAAGUCUGUUGGAAUACAGCGGCACAGUGGUGAGACCCCCGUUCAUGGUGCGGAUGCGCAAUGCUUUGUGAUACAUUUUCGAAGAGUCGAGUUGUUUGGGAAUGCAGCUCAAAUUGGGUGGUAAAUUCCAUCUAAAGCUAAAUAUUGGCGAGAGACCGAUAGCGAACAAGUACCGUGAGGGAAAGAUGAAAAGCACUUUGGAAAGAGAGUUAACAGUACGUGAAAUUGUUGGAAGGGAAACGCUUGAAGUCAGACUUGCUGUUCGGAGUUCAGCCGCAAGGUGUACUCUCCGAGUUGCAGGCCAGCAUCAGUUUUUCGGGGUGGAAAAUCACGGUUUGAAGGUAGCAGUUUCGGCUGUGUUAUAGCUUUCCGUUGGAUACAUCCUGGGGGACUGAGGAACGCAGUGUGCUUUUAGCAGGGGUUUCGACCUCUUCACACUUAGGAUGCUUCAGCACGAGUCA